rnacentral:rRNA from 1 species
GUCCAGACUCCUACGGGAGGCAGCAGUGGGGGAUAUUGCACAAUGGGCGCAAGCCUGAUGCAGCGACGCCGCGUGAGCGAAGAAGUAUUUCGGUAUGUAAAGCUCUAUCAGCAGGGAAGAAAAUGACGGUACCUGACUAAGAAGCCCCGGCUAACUACGUGCCAGCAGCCGCGGUAAUACGUAGGGGGCAAGCGUUAUCCGGAUUUACUGGGUGUAAAGGGAGCGUAGACGGCAAUGCAAGCCAGAUGUGAAAGCCCGGGGCUCAACCCCGGGACUGCAUUUGGAACUGUGUAGCUGGAGUGUCGGAGAGGCAGGCGGAACUCCUAGUGUAGCGGUGAAAUGCGUAGAUAUUAGGAGGAACACCAGUGGCGAAGGCGGCCUGCUGGACGAUGACUGACGUUGAGGCUCGAAAGCGUGGGGAGCAAACAGGAUUAGAUACCCGCGUA